rnacentral:rRNA from 1 species
AGCAGCCGCGGUAAUUCCAGCUCCAAUAGCGUAUAUUAAAGUUGUUGCAGUUAAAAAGCUCGUAGUUGAAUUUCGGGACUAAUAUGUCGGUCGUGCCUCGGUACGCACUGGCUUAUUGGUUUCUCCUUUCUGAAGAACCAUGAUGUCAUUUAUUUGGUGUCGUGGGGAAUCAGGACUGUUACUUUGAAAAAAUUAGAGUGUUUAAAGCAGGCUCACGCUUGAAUACAUUAGCAUGGAAUAAUGAAAUAGGACGUUUGAUUCUAUUUUGUUGGUUUCUAGGAUCGACGUAAUGAUUAAUAGGGAUAGUUGGGGGCAUUAGUAUUCAAUUGUCAGAGGUGAAAUUCUUGGAUUUAUUGAAGACUAACUACUGCGAAAGCAUUUGCCAAGGAUGUUUUCAUUAAUCAAGAACGAAAGUUAGGGGAUCGAAGACGAUCAGAUACCGUCGUAGUCUUAACCAUAAACUAUGCCGACUAGGGAUCGGAUGAUGUUAAUUUUUAAUGACUCAUUCGGC